AGAGUUUGAUCAUGGCUCAGGACGAACGCUGGCGGCACGCUUAACACAUGCAAGUCGAACGAGAGAAGAGGAGCUUGCUUUUCUGAUCUAGUGGCGGACGGGUGAGUAACACGUGAGCAAUCUGCCUUUCAGAGGGGGAUACCGAUUGGAAACGAUCGUUAAUACCGCAUAACAUAAUUGAACCGCAUGAUUUGAUUAUCAAAGAUUUAUCGCUGAAAGAUGAGCUCGCGUCUGAUUAGCUAGUUGGUAAGGUAACGGCUUACCAAGGCGACGAUCAGUAGCCGGACUGAGAGGUUGAUCGGCCACAUUGGGACUGAGACACGGCCCAGACUCCUACGGGAGGCAGCAGUGGGGAAUAUUGCACAAUGGAGGAAACUCUGAUGCAGCGAUGCCGCGUGAGGGAAGAAGGUUUUAGGAUUGUAAACCUCUGUCUUCAGGGACGAAAAAAGACGGUACCUGAGGAGGAAGCUCCGGCUAACUACGUGCCAGCAGCCGCGGUAAUACGUAGGGAGCGAGCGUUGUCCGGAAUUACUGGGUGUAAAGGGAGCGUAGGCGGGAUCGCAAGUCAGAUGUGAAAACUAUGGGCUAAACCCAUAAACUGCAUUUGAAACUGUGGUUCUUGAGUGAAGUAGAGGUAAGCGGAAUUCCUAGUGUAGCGGUGAAAUGCGUAGAUAUUAGGAGGAACAUCAGUGGCGAAGGCGGCUUACUGGGCUUUAACUGACGCUGAGGCUCGAAAGCGUGGGGAGCAAACGGGAUUAGAUACCCUGGUAGUCCACGCCGUAAACGAUGAUUACUAGGUGUGGGGGGACUGACCCCUUCCGUGCCGCAGCAAACGCAAUAAGUAAUCCACCUGGGGAGUACGACCGCAAGGUUGAAACUCAAAGGAAUUGACGGGGGCCCGCACAAGCAGUGGAGUAUGUGGAUUAAUUCGAAGCAACGCGAAGAACCUUACCAGGUCUUGACAUCGUAUGCAUAGCUCAGAGAUGAGUGAAAUCUCUUCGGAGACAUAUAGACAGGUGGUGCAUGGUUGUCGUCAGCUCGUGUCGUGAGAUGUUGGGUUAAGUCCCGCAACGAGCGCAACCCUUACUGUUAGUUGCUACGCAAGAGCACUCUAGCAGGACUGCCGUUGACAAAACGGAGGAAGGUGGGGAUGACGUCAAAUCAUCAUGCCCCUUAUGACCUGGGCCUCACACGUACUACAAUGGCUGUCAACAGAGGGAAGCAAAGCCGCGAGGUGGAGCGAACCCCUAAAAGCAGUCUUAGUUCGGAUUGUAGGCUGCAACCCGCCUACAUGAAGUCGGAAUUGCUAGUAAUCGCAGAUCAGCAUGCUGCGGUGAAUACGUUCCCGGGCCUUGUACACACCGCCCGUCACGCCAUGGGAGUCGGUAACACCCGAAGCCUGUAGUCUAACCGCAAGGAGGACGCAGUCGAAGGUGGGAUUGAUGACUGGGGUGAAGUCGUAACAAGGUA
rnacentral:rRNA from 1 species